rnacentral:antisense_RNA from 1 species
GGAAGGGAGGAAGCGUAGAAGGUGCCGAUGCACUUUUCCUCUCUCCAGACUUCCUGACUGCUCCAAGAAUUUCAUCGAACAAGACUCAAAGAGGCCCAGCUGCUCUGCGUUUUGAUUCUUCUCCCUCUCUCAGUCCACACUGACCUGGGAGGGGCUUCUCAAACACCACAUUUCCUAGCAUGCUGUGAGAAGAGGACUGUGAGCUAAAAAGGGAGAAAAGGCACUCCCUUCCUCAUCAACAAACACCUGACCUGGGUAGACCCUCUGCUUACCAAGAUCCAGUCCACCUUUUGACAUCAGCAUUCAUGCUGCCUCUUUUUACGAACCAAGCCAAAGUGGUCCCUUCCUCUGGAAAUUAUAGGGUACUUAAUGUACCUCAUAUCCAGCACUUUCCAUCAAAAAGCAGAGUAUUUCAGCAUCAUCUGAACCUGGGCUAGACUUAGGACUUACACUGAUGAACAGAAUGUGACAGGAGUGAUGUUACUCAGUUCCAAGCUUAAGCCUCUAGAGACAGACUCUGCAGCUUCUACUUACAAUGCUAUCCUGAGGGCAACAUGUGAAAAAGUCCAAGCUAGCCUAUUGGAAGAUGAAAGACUACAUGGAACACAGACAAGCCAUUCCGGCUGAGGCCCUAAGCCAACCUAACAAUCCACCCACAGAAUUGUGAGAAGUCAUUAAAUUAUCCUUUUAAACCACUAA